AUGCACAGAAGGAAUUUGAAGCAAUCAAGAGCAGCGGAGAACACGACUUUGGUCCUCGCAUGCGGCAACAGCAGCAUCCGGCUUCAAAGAACGGCUCUCUGUCAGGCUGGCCCAGCCGGCUACACCGCUACUCACAGCGGAUGUGGCACCCAGCCCGCGCGGCAAAGGCCCUCGGCCACGACGCCGCUCAUCCCGAUACAGCAACAUUGUGUGGCGUCGUCAGCAGCACGCGUCGUUGUCGACGCAGGACGGCGCGUGGCGAAGCCCUUCGGCUUGACCUGUCGCUUCUCCCACGGCGAACCUGACCAUGGAGGCGGCUAG
rnacentral:rRNA from 1 species